GCUGGGUGUGGUGGUGCGCACCUGUAAUCCCAGCUACUCAGGAAGCUGAGGCAGGAGAAUCACUUGAACCUGGGAGGUGGAGGUUGCAGUGAGCUGAGAUCAUGCCACUGCACUCCAGCCUGGGUGACAGAGCGAGACUCUGUCUCCA
rfam:Gorilla gorilla gorilla genomic chromosome, chr3, whole genome shotgun sequence